AAAAAGCUGAGAUGUGGGCAGCAUUACUGUGAAUCUCUUUGUCAUAGUGGCCACUGCCCUCCAUGCUUGGAAACAAUCUUCACUGAUUUGACAUGUGCUUGUGGAAGAACUUCAAUCCCUCCUCCAUUGCCUUGUGGUACGCCACCUCCUUCAUGUCAACUUCCAUGCCCAGUUCCGCAGGCUUGUGGUCAUUCGUCUUCUCACAGCUGCCAUUUUGGAGAUUGUCCACCUUGUUCUGUACCUGUGGCAAAGGAGUGCAUUGGAGGACAUGUUGUUCUCAGGAACGUUCCUUGUGGAUCAAAAGAUAUCAGAUGCAACAAGCUCUGCGG
rnacentral:lncRNA from 1 species